rnacentral:sRNA from 1 species
ACUGGGUAUGGUGGAGCUUGCCUGUAAUCCCAGCAACUCAGGAGGCUUAGAGAGGAGAAUAGCUAGUUUGAGACCAGCCUAGGAAACAUAGCAAGACCCACCUCAAA